AGUGAACGCUGGCGGUAUGCCUAACACAUGCAAGUCGAACGGCAGCACAGUAAGAGCUUGCUCUUACGGGUGGCGAGUGGCGGACGGGUGAGGAAUACAUCGGAAUCUACUUUUUCGUGGGGGAUAACGUAGGGAAACUUACGCUAAUACCGCAUACGACCUACGGGUGAAAGCAGGGGAUCUUCGGACCUUGCGCGAUUGAAUGAGCCGAUGUCGGAUUAGCUAGUUGGCGGGGUAAAGGCCCACCAAGGCGACGAUCCGUAGCUGGUCUGAGAGGAUGAUCGGCCACACUGGAACUGAGACACGGUCCAGACUCCUACGGGAGGCAGCAGUGGGGAAUAUUGGACAAAGGGCGCAAGCCUGAUCCAGCCAUACCGCGUGGGUGAAGAAGGCCUUCGGGUUGUAAAGCCCUUUUGUUGGGAAAGAAAAGCAGCAGGUUAAUACCCCGCUGUUCUGACGGUACCCAAAGAAUAAGCACCGGCUAACUUCGUG
rnacentral:rRNA from 1 species